GUCCACGCCGUAAACGAUGGGUGCUAGGUGUAGGAGGUAUCGACCCCUUCUGUGCCGUAGUUAACACAAUAAGCACCCCGCCUGGGGAGUACGGCCGCAAGGUUGAAACUCAAAGGAAUUGACGGGGGCCCGCACAAGCGGUGGAGCAUGUGGUUUAAUUCGACGCAACGCGAAGAACCUUACCAGGGCUUGACAUCCUCUGACCGCAUAUGAAAGUAUGUUUUCUGGCUUCGGUCAGACAGAGAGACAGGUGGUGCAUGGUUGUCGU
rnacentral:rRNA from 1 species